rnacentral:rRNA from 1 species
AGGCUGCCGUAGAAACUGGGUAUCUGGGACGGGCUUGCCGUGGGAGGAAUGUGUGGUGUAGCGGUGAAAUGCAUAGAUAUCACACAGAACACCGAUUGCGAAGGCAUCUCACGAAGGCCCCGUUGACGCUGAGGCACGAAAGUGUGGGGAUCGAACAGGAUUAGAUACCCUGGUAGUCCACACUGUAAACGAUGAUGACUGGCCGUUGGGUUAAAAAAGAUUCAGUGGUAAAGGGAAACCGAUAAGUCAUCCACCUGGGGAGUACGACCGCAAGGUUGAAACUCAAAGGAAUUGACGGGGGCCCGCACAAGCGGAGGAACAUGUGGUUUAAUUCGAUGAUACGCGAGGAACCUUACCCAGGCUCGAACGGUGCCUGAAUAUUUCAGAGAUGGAAUAGUCGCAAGACAGGUAUCGAGGUGCUGCAUGGUUGUCGUCAGCUCGUGCCGUGAGGUGUCGGCUUAAGUGCCAUAACGAGCGCAACCCUUGCCUUCAGUUGCCAGCGGGCAAAGCCGGGGACUCUGGAGGGACUGCCACCGCAAGGUGCGAGGAAGGGGGGGAUGACGUCAAAUCAGCACGGCCCUUACGUCUGGGGCGACACACGUGUUACAAUGGCGGCUACAGAGGGGAAACCGACACAGCGAUGUAGAGGGAAUCCGGAAAAGGCCGUCUCAGUUCGGACUGGAGUCUGCAACCCGACUCCACGAAGCUGGAUUCGCUAGUAAUCGCGCAUCAGCCAUGGCGCGGUGAAUACGUUCCCGGGCCUUGUACACACCGCCCGUCAAGCCAUGGGAGUCGGGNNNGCCUGAAGUCCGCGACCGUAAGGAGCGGCCAAGGGCAAGACCGGUGACUGGGGCUAAGUCGUAACAAGGUAACCA